GACGAACGCUGGCGGCGUGCUUAACACAUGCAAGUCGAACGAUGAUGCCCAGCUUGCUGGGCGGAUUAGUGGCGAACGGGUGAGUAACACGUGGGUGAUCUGCCCUGCACUUCGGGAUAAGCCUGGGAAACUGGGUCUAAUACCGGAUAUGACCAAGGACUGCAUGGUUUUUGGUGGAAAGGUUUACUGGUGCAGGAUGAGCCCGCGGCCUAUCAGCUUGUUGGUGGGGUAAUGGCCUACCAAGGCGACGACGGGUAGCCGGCCUGAGAGGGGGACCGGCCACACUGGGACUGAGACACGGCCCAGACUCCUACGGGAGGCAGCAGUGGGGAAUAUUGCCCAAUGGGCGAAAGCCUGAUGCAGCGACGCCGCGUGAGGGAUGACGGCCUUCGGGUUGUAAACCUCUUUCAGCAGGGACGAAGCGAAAGUGACUGUACCUGCAGAAGAAGCACCGGCUAACUACGUGCCAGCAGCCGCCGUAA
rnacentral:rRNA from 1 species